UGGCUUAAUGUUGGUAGAGCAUGGUGUUUGCAACGCCAGGGUUGUGGGUUUGAUUCCCAC
rfam:Salmo salar isolate Sally breed double haploid chromosome ssa18, whole genome shotgun sequence.